rnacentral:lncRNA from 1 species
GUUUGUCCGUUAAAGGAGUCUUGAGGAUACUGUAGAAGGUCGAACAUUAGAGGAGUCCAGAAUUCAAUUCUGCUGUACUCCAACUUUUGUAGGAGUCUGAAAGGAGUCCGCUUAUUGUAGAAGCUCAGACGAAGACUGGUUGUCGUGAAAGCUCAGAUGGAGACUUCUUAUUAUAGAAGUCCCACUGCUGGAGAAGCUCGAUCAUUGAUGA